UAAGAAGAGAGAAUGCCGGAAUGAGUAGCGAGAGGAAGGUGAGAAUCCUUCCGGCCGAAUAUCUAAGGUUUCCAGAGUAAAGCUGAUCUGCUCUGGGUAAGUCGGGGCCUAAGGCGAGGUCGAAAGACGUAGUCGAUGGAUAACAGGUAAAGAUUCCUGUACUAUAUCAUAACAGAACUGUGGGGACGCAGACAGAGAGCAUAAGCCGGGAAUGGAAAGACCGGUACAAGCGAGGUAGGAGUGCAUCAGGCAAAUCCGGUGCACAAUCUGAAGACGUGAUGUGGGGCGUAAAGCCGGAAGUAUGUGAGCUGGCUGCCAAGAAAAGCCGCUAUUGUUUAUGAUAUACCCGUACCGUAAACCGACACAGGUGGAUGAGGAGAGAAUCCUAAGGCCGACGGGAGAAGCAUUGUUAAGGAACUCGGCAAAAUGACUCCGUAACUUCGGGAGAAGGAGUGCCAUGUAAAAGUGGCCGCAGAGAAUUGGCCCAAGCAACUGUUUAGCAAAAACACAGGUCUAUGCAAAACCGAAAGGUGAGGUAUAUGGGCUGACGCCUGCCCGGUGCUGGAAGGUUAAGGGGAGAGGUUAGCCGUAAGGCGAAGCUUUGAACUUAAGCCCCAGUAAACGGCGGCCGUAACUAUAACGGUCCUAAGGUAGCGAAAUUCCUUGUCGGGUAAGUUCCGACCCGCACGAAAGGCGUAAUGAUUUGGGCACUGUCUCAACAAUGCACCCGGUGAAAUUGAAAUACCAGUGAAGAUGCUGGUUACCUGCGCCAGGACGGAAAGACCCCAUGGAGCUUUACUCCAGCUUGAUACUGGGAUUCGAUAUUGCAUGUACAGGAUAGGUGGGAGACUUUGAACUGAUGACGCCAGUUGUCAGGGAGUCACUGUUGGGAUACCACCCUUGUAGUAUUGGAUUUCUAACCAGCAGCCGUGAACCGGCUGGGGGACAAUGUCAGGUGGGGAGUUUGACUGGGGCGGUCGCCUCCGAAAGGGUAUCGGAGGCGCUCAAAGGUUCCCUCAGAAUGGUUGGAAACCAUUCGAAGAGUGCAAAGGCAGAAGGGAGCUUGACUGCGACACCGACGGGUGGAGCAGGUACGAAAGUAGGACUUAGUGAUCCGGUGGUAUAAAGUGGGAUUGCCAUCGCUCAACGGAUAAAAGCUACCCUGGGGAUAACAGGCUUAUCACUCCCAAGAGUUCACAUCGACGGAGUGGUUUGGCACCUCGAUGUCGGCUCAUCGCAUCCUGGGGCUGAAGUAGGUCCCAAGGGUUGGGCUGUUCGCCCAUUAAAGCGGUACGCGAGCUGGGUUCAGA
rnacentral:rRNA from 1 species